AGCUGCAGAAGAAGCACCGGCUAACUCCGUGCCAGCAGCCGCGGUAAUACGGAGGGUGCGAGCGUUAAUCGGAAUUACUGGGCGUAAAGCGCAUGCAGGUGGUUUGUUAAGUCAGAUGUGAAAGACCCGGGGCGUCAACCUCGGAAUUGCAUUUGAAACUGGCAGACUAGAGUACUGUAGAGGGGGGUAGGAAUUUCAGGUGUAGCGGUGAAAUGCGUAGAGAUCUGAAGGAAUACCGGUGGCGAAGGCGGCCCCCUCGGACAGAUACUGACACUCAGAUGCGAAAGCGUGGGGAGCAAACAGGAUUAGAUACCCUGGUAG
rnacentral:rRNA from 1 species